UCCCUCCUGCUUCUCUCUCUUCUCCCCUCCCCCUCCCCCCGUCAACCGACAAGGCGCCUGCGCGAUCGCUCCGGCCGUUUCCCGCUCACCUCGGCUCUUCUGCUGGCUGUCGCCGCCGUAGGCAAAAUGACGCCUCCCGGGUCCUAAAGCCGUUGUGCAUGCAUCCCGCGCUGAAAAGUCGAACAUACAUGAGUUGAGCGGGAAGACGACUCAUGGCAGCGUGAGACACCCACUGCAGCUGUCUCUCAGGAAUGCAAUCUUUUGCAGUGGAAUUUGGCAUCCCUGAGAUCCAGAAGAGAGGAAACCAGCAAGUAUUUCUGCCAGAUGGGCUGGAAUGCACAGGGGGUGGGGGAGAAACUAAGUCUGUUUAAACAGAAAUAUAGGUCUGUAUCACUUAAACAUGGAACUGGAUUCUUAAAUCAUUAUUGCAAGAUGAAACGGUCAGUGCAAAAGCAAACUGAAGACCAGCCCAGACAUGAUGGGGUCAUCAUUCAAAUCACCCCUAUAAAGUGUGGUAUCUUAGAAUAAAAACACAAAGAGGACGUGCUGAACCCUUUCCCUUUGGAUCAUAGCAGUUGGUUGCUCCAGCAAAUUUACUUUAUUCCUAGCACUAGUACUAGAAGUGACCUGAAAACAUAAUAAAACAGCCUACCCAGGGCUUGUAAAGACAUUAGUCUUUUGGGGCCUGGGCAGAGCUUGUCUGAGGCCUGGGGUAGGACUCU